UACGGAGGAUCCAAGCGUUAUCCGGAAUCAUUGGGUUUAAAGGGUCCGUAGGCGGUUAGAUAAGUCAGUGGUGAAAUCGUUGGGCUCAACCUAGCAAUUGCCAUUGAUACUGUUUAACUUGAAUUAUUGGGAAGUAACUAGAAUAUGUAGUGUAGCGGUGAAAUGCUUAGAUAUUACAUGGAAUACCGAUUGCGAAAGCAGGUUACUAUCAAUAUAUUGACGCUGAUGGACGAAAGCGUGGGUAGCGAACAGG
rnacentral:rRNA from 1 species